AUAUCUUUAGUAUAUAAAUAUAAUACUUUAGAAUAAAUUAAAAUUAAUACAAUAUUUUUUCUAAAAAAUUAACUUCUUUAAAAAAAAUUUCAAAAAUAUAAAUAUAAAUUUUUUAUAGCAAAUCUAAUAUCUAUAAUUAUAACAUAAACAAUCAAUAAAUUUUAAAUGUAUAUAGUUAUCAAAACUAUACUAAAAGGAGCAAAAGAAGUCUACUUACGGCACCCACGUCGGACACGUAAUUCGACCAAUAGGGAUGCAUCAUUCCAUCCACGUCAUCUAUUGAGUCAACUGGUUUGGGCUUUUGGUGGUUUUUGUUUGUUGUUUGGGCUGUUUUAGUGUAGCCCAUUUUCUGGAAUGGUGUGGACGUGUUCUACGCCACGAGCAGCUGUCUCCGUUUUUCGUAGCCCUAAUCUCUUUUUUUUUUCUCCCGUACCUUUGCGACUUCCAUCUCUUCCGUUUCUCAUCUCUUCAAUUUCGUCUCCCUAGUAAGUCACCACUAACUGAAUCCUUGAUUAAGCUCAUUCAAUGGAUUCCUUUCACCUUCUUCUCUGUUUAUCUAUAUAUAAAUCUCUAUUCCUAUCUUAUCUUCCCAUCCAAGUUGAAAUGACUCUCAAAAACUUAUCCCGAUGGAAUCCACCGGCAACUCAUCCGUCUCCGGCGAUCGCAAAGCCAGCAAGAAGACCGUCGCCUCCUCUGUGACUGCGAAACCAAGCGGGAAGUCUCCUGUUUCGUCUACCAAUCCGAUGAACCCAAACACUGUUACCGCUCUGUCCUCCGCGCAUGCAAACCAAGUGAUGUUCUUCAGAGAUGUUUCACUCGGCCCACGCGAAGCCGAGUUGAGGUUUUGUCUGAUUCACUUAUGGGAGGCUCGAAAUAUAUACACGAAGACCCUGAUUGGACAAGAGAUGCUCCUUAUCGACGAAGAGGUUUGUCAACGUCUUUAGCUUCCCUCUUUAUUUUCUUCUUGAAUCGUGUUUUUGAUUUAAUAUUAGUCGUUUAGAUAUAUUCUCCGAGUCUUGCUUUCGGUAGAUCUUAUUAAUUUUUUAUGUGUUUCUGAAUUUAUAUUUGUCUAUUAGAUUAGUUCAUCGGAUUGCUAUUCUUGGUCUUGCUUUCAGUACAACGUAUUAGUUUUAUUCUUUUCCGUAGAUUGGAUUGGUUCCUAUGUCUGCUCUAUAUAUGUCGCUCUAUAUAUGUCUGCCUAAGUUUUCAAAGUGAUCUGAUGUAUUGUUUGAUUUAUAUUAAUCGAAGAUUUCAAUUUAUUUUCAGGGAACUGUUAUUCAAGGUUUUGUUCCAGCCGGUAGAGUAGGGACAUUUGAUCUGGUAGCUGGUUCCGUCUAUAAGCUCAGAAAUUUUUUCGGAUCCAGGAACAAAGCUCAGUUCUCGGUUGCUGAUCAUAUCGCCAUCGUCUCAUUCAGUUGGAAUUCUGAUUUAUCCGUUCUUGAGAACCCUCCGGUUCUUAUUCCAGAAGACAGGUUCAGGUUCCACAGCUUCGAGGAGUUAUGGCCAACUGUGAUUCCAAGGGUGAUCUUUACGAUAAGUCAUGUUGAACUAUGGUUGGUCUUUAUGCCUGCAUUUUUAGUUUAUAAUUUAUCACCUCUAAUGAUUAUUAUUCCGUUGAGUUUUGUUAACUAUUUAGAGUAUUAUUCUGUUGACUGUUUAAUUAUUCUAUCUCAGAUUGUGUUGGCCACAUGAGGCUGGUGAAUGGGCAGACUCUCACUGACCAUACUGUUCUUGACGAAGUUGCCAUAGCUGAGAAGCGGCAUCUAUGUGUUCAUGUUCAGACACAUGAGUAAGUUUAUCCAUUUGUUAGUUGUUUUCGUUGUGUGUUAUAUUUAACACGUAAUGUUUACAUAUGUAGUGGACCAGUGAUGAAGCUCUAUCUAUGGGAUAAUGCCGCAUCUGAGUUCUGCCAGAAAUUUAAAUCGUAUGGAAGGACCCCACACGUUCUUUUGGUCACCACAGUGAACCCUAAGCUUCUUGGAGGUUAGCAUUUUAAUAAUAAAAUUCCAUGCUCAUAUGCAUAAAUUAGCUGUGGUUAAUCGUAUAGCUUUGGUUAACAGGAACCCUUUGUCUCACUUCUAUGUCAUCAUCUCGAGUGUUCAUGGACGACGAUGUUCAGCCUAGCAAGGAUUACUUUGAAUGGUAGGCAUUUGUGUUCAUAAUUUUAGUAUAGUUUUGAUAUUUAAGCGUCUUCAUCUGUAACAAUCUUUGGGCUUCCGCCUUUUCUCAGGUUGAGCUCCAACACAGGUAUUGCUAAUAGGAUUGCUGCUGAGGUAGUCACAAAGCAUGAGACAGUGACUCUUGAGGAGCUAUUCUCCUACAUUAAGCAGAAAGCUUCUAAGGUCAAGAGUUGUUCUGUUGUUAUCAUUCAUUUAUGUGUGCUUGGGUACUUACGAAUUUUAUUUUACUUUCCACAAUGAAGGUUGCUUGGUUUGAAUGCACAGCAACUAUAGAUGAUGUUGUCCAGGGUUCUUCUUGGUAUUACGUUUCUUGCGGUGGAUUUAAUAGUAAAGCAGUUAAAGGCCCUACUUCCCUGAUGUGCAACAACAAGAAGUGUGAGAAGAGUGAAGUCACGGGCGUCCCUCAGUAAGUGUUGUAGUCAUAGUUUCAUCUACGUUUUGUCAGUACUAAUAGCUAAUCUUCUUUCGUUGCAGGUACCUCACGAAGAUUUCUAUUUAUGAUAAGCGUGAGCAAGCAGUUUUUGUCAUCCUUGGUAAUGCCGGCAAGGAGUUGACUGGGAAACAUGCAGUAGAAUUGGUUGCUAAUUUCUUUGAGGUAAUGUUAGAUCUGUCUAUAAAUAGCAAAUAAUUUUGUAUUAUAGCAAAUUAGUUGGAACAUCACCCAUUCAUGCAUUUAGUAAAGGUUGUAUUAUUUUAACUCACGUAUGUUUCUAUAUGAUUGUUAGUCUAAUGAGGGAGCAGGAGCUGACCAUUACGUUCCGGUUCCGCAAGCUUUACUUGAUACAAUAGGGCAGACAGGGAAGUUCAUCGUGAAAGUGUCGGACCAUAACUUGAAAGGCAAGACUCAGACUAUAACUGUCACAAAGAUACUCCCACCAGAAGCUCCACUUCCAGCAAUGUCCGAUGAUAUUCCUACGACUAUGGGUGAUGGAUCUGCUCCUUCCAGCGGCUAUGGAGAUCCUGCGGGUGAUAGGGCUAGAAAAGCUGCUGAUAGUCUUGAGUCAGACGAUGCCAAGCGUUCCAAAAGUGGCUAAUAUAGCUUCAACAUAUCCUCUUACUGUUUUUACGUUUCUAUAAAGACUUUGCCUUCUUUCAAUUUUAAUCUUCAGACUUUUGUCUUUUUAUGUUUAAGUUAUUCUGAUACAAUUUUCGUUAUAUGUUUUUACUUAUCCCUUUAAGCAUCUACUUAUCCUAAUAUGAUCUUUUAUAUGUUUUUCCUUUCACUUUAGGCAGUUCACUUGAGAAACAUACGAUUAGGAAUGUUGAUAACUUACGAUUUUCCUUGAACUUGGGGAUAAACAUCUGAGAAUGUAUGCAUAAUCUAUUAGUUAUACCCGUAUAAUCUUCCCUUACUGAUGUGAGGAUUCUAUUUUCAUGUCCCAAGUUAUUUUCAUGAUUUUUUUUUUGAGUUUUUUUAUUAAGUAGCAAUUAUAAGAAUGAUAUAUGGCUGAUUUUAGUAUCGAAGAGUUGAAUAGAUUUAUAUCAUAUUAUUUUUGAGAAUAUCUAUUAACCAUAUUUGUAAAAUCAUUGCUUUAAUAAAAGGCAAGUAUUCACGAGAAUCAAGCCCUUCUUCUUCUCUCUACAAAAUUCCUAAUAUGCCUUCUCUAAAACACACAAAAAAAGAUCUGCACAUUUUUUCGAGACCCAUAACUGUUCACGCAACCAGAUCUCGAAAUCUUCUUAAAAGUGUAAGUUUUUUAAAUCACCUAACCCUCUCCAUAAGAAGUUCCAUAUUCUAAGAUGUUUAUGUUUUAUUGAUCGCAUACUAAGGUUUGGAUCUUGGACGAAAUGGGGAAACCACCUUCGACAAGCAGUCUGGACACCGGAGGUAAGACAAAUAAUUAUUUAGCUGUUUCAAAGGAAUGAUUUUACAUAUUUAGUCUGAUUGACUAAGGAUCCUAGACUACUUAUGCUACGUACUUUUAUAUCUGCGUAAGAACAAAAUUACACACAGGAGGUCUUACAAAUCACUGCAUUUUAAAUACAAUUGUGUAGUAUUACUCACAACACGUUUUGAUGAGAUGAACCCCUGGAUCACAGUGCAUAAACCAUUACUCAAUCAAUAAGUAUACGUUCCUUCUUCUUAUAUUGACCAUCUGUAACAACCAAUUUUUUACAUUUGGCAUUUUGGCUUCAUUGGGGUUAAGAAACAUUGAUUUCUUAUUCACUUAUAUUAUUUUUGGUCUAAACAAAAAUUAUUAAACAUGUUAUAAAAUUCAUUUAUAUGUUUAUGUAACUGAUCUAAAAUUGUAUUUGAAAGAUAUACGAUUUUGAAGAUGUAGUCCCGUGCAAGGGUGGAGUCGUUGAUUUUUCACUUUAUAACUCUAUGUCUUACAAUAUUAGAAUUAUCUCUGUUCUUACGAUCAAAAAUAAACUAUAAUAGCUUUGUGAUAUUUAAUAUUGUAACAAUCUCUGUGAAGUAACAAUCUUUAUGAAGUAACAAUAUUUAAUAAACUAUAUUGUAACAAUCAACCAAUUGAUGAUCAAUGUGAAGUAACGUAUGAAAAGAAACAAUAAAAAAUAAACUGCUUCAUGUUGGCUCAUAUACACACUACUCAUCAUCGUAAUAUUAGAGGUUGAUAUCUUAAGACAGUUCUGUUUCCUGUGUUUGUAAAGAAUCACGAAAGUGGAGUUAUUAUAUGUUUAUUUAUAAUUUAUAUUUAUGGAAACUACUAAUUUAUUCAUCUAAGAUUUAUAUAAAAAUAAUUAUCUUAUUAGUUUAUAUAUAAUUAAUAUAUAUGUAAAUAUUUCAUUUUUUAUUAUUCAGUCCUAAUUUCUAUAGUUCUGUAUCAAAUAAUAAUUUAAAAAUUACUAAUUCCUCCAUUUUGUUUUAAAACACAGUUGUGAAUCUCAUUAUACUUUAAGUUUUUCAGAAAACAAUGCAAAAUAUUAAUAUACUUUGCAUUAUACUUUAAGUUUUUCAGAAAACAAUGCAAAGUAUCUGUCAUAGCUUCAAUAAGUCAUUCAUAUCUAUGGGAUAGCUGCCACAAGUUCUCUUUGAAAACAAAUAUGCGAGUCAAUCAAGACGAGAAGGAGUUCUCUGAGUGGCUUCUCAAAGUCGGGGAAGGUCGCACACAAUCAGUACAAGAAGAUGAGGAUGAUGGCUACCAUGAACAGAUGAUAAUUGUCGACAACUCACUGGUUCAAGAGAUUAAGGAUGACUCUUUAAAACAAGUUGUUGAUGCCGCAUAUGGAGAAGUCAACAAGAUAAAGGCCUCCCAAAGCUCCUACAUUGAUAGAGCUAUACGUACACCUCGAAAUGAAACAGUCGAUGAGAUCAAUGCAUACACAAUCUCCAAAACUGACGGGAAGUCAAGAGACUACUACAGUUACAAUAGCUUUGAGAUUUCAGACACUCAAUCUGAUCAAAAUGAUACAUUAUAUGUGAUUGAGUAUCUCAAUUCCUUGAAAUUUCCAGGAUUGCCUUCUCAUAAGCUCACUCUCAAGUUGGGGCCCCGGUUAUGCUUCUGCGAAACAUAAAUCAGAGAAAAGGAUUAUGUAAUGGUACCCGUAUGAUCCUAACCUACAUAGGCGAACGAGUGCUUAAGGCAGAAAUAAUCACUAGCUCACACAUUGGAAAAGAAGUAUUGAUACCAAGGAUUAUACUCUUGCAUGAUGAAACAAAGCUACCGUUCACUUUACGUCGACGACAAUUCCCUAUUAGAUUGUGUUAUGCAAUGGCAAUCAACAAAAGUCAGGGGAAAAGUUUAAAAGAGAUUCUCCUAUAUCUUCCUAAACCGUCUUCGCCCAUGGUCAACUCUAUGUAGCACUCUCAUGUGUAACAAGCAGAGCAGGACUAAAAAUCAUUAAAGGCGAAGAUUCACACCCACAAAAAGUGAAGAACAUAGUGUACAAAGAAAUCUUCAACCGCCUUCGUUCCCAUGAGAUAUUUUAGCUAUCAACUGAAGAAGUCAUAGCAAAAACUCCUACCCUGAUGAUGGAUAUCUCACUACUAUCAAGUACGUCUACCUAUACUAUAAACUAAAUAAAUUGAUUUCUAUUACUAAGUUUUGAUCACUGAUUUAUUUUAAAAUAAUUUUAGGCUCCCCAGCUCGGUAAAUCUCAUCACAUCUACAUUUCCUCUUCGUAAAAAUGUCCACCAUCGUAUCUACGAUUUCCAUUUUUCUGUCCUAAGACCUUAGUAUCUGUUCUUGGUAACGAUAAUAACUUUCCACUGCUUCUGCACAUGAGUUAUACCAAACUUUUAUUCCAUAACUGAUCUACUUUACUCUAGGCAACCACAAAAGUUUGACAAAUCAAACAAUAAACAGAUCAAACAUCACCACAUAUGCGUUAGAAUUUAAAUAAUAUAAGCUACUGCUGAGCAAAACAAGUUGAUUACAUAAGCUACUGAUAAAUGCAAAAAUAAACGACAUAACAAACAGGAUUUAAUAUAAAAGUUGAUGCGCAUGAACCUCCAACAUUCCCAUUGUUUUGGAAAAUACAACACUCUCAUUCCAAAUUCUUAUUAUGAUGUUUACUAACUUUAGGAUUGCUAAAAUCCAGUUGCAACAACAAAGGUAGUAAUUUGCAUACUGCUAAGCAGGUACCGAGAUUACAUUAAACCCACCCCUUUAUUUAAUAUUUUGAGUGAGUCCAGCUUAUUUACACUCACACAUUACAUACAGGUCAAAAAGGGUUCGCUUGACCCUAAUGGACAAUGCAUCUGCUCUGUUUAGAGAGUUACAUUGCAGGACAGACUUGAAACACGAAGUCGUAAUCAUUACAAGCAUCAAUCCCAGAGUGUGCAAAGGAAAGCUGAUACUCACCUCAACACCUGCUACCCGCUUUUACUGUGACAGUACUAUUGAUCUUAUACGAAGCUUCAAUCAGAGGAACAAAGUUAGUAAUCACUCAUGAGUGAUCAACUAGGCUUUGGUCUAUAGUCUAUAACAAUAAUUCAUUUUCAUGGUUUAAAAAGAAGUUUGUUGCUUUUUAUGAAACUUUAUAAAACAUUCUAUGAAAAAGAUUUAUAAAACUUUUAUCUACGCCA